UGCCAGUGAUAAACUGGAGGAAGGUGGGGAUGACGUCAAGUCAUCAUGGCCCUUACGACCAGGGCUACACACGUGCUACAAUGGCGCAUACAAAGAGAAGCGACCUCGCGAGAGCAAGCGGACCUCAUAAAGUGCGUCGUAGUCCGGAUUGGAGUCUGCAACUCGACUCCAUGAAGUCGGAAUCGCUAGUAAUCGUGGAUCAGAAUGCCACGGUGAAUACGUUCCCGGGCCUUGUACACACCGCCCGUCACACCAUGGGAGUGGGUUGCAAAAGAAGUAGGUAGCUUAACCUUCGGGAGGGCGCUUACCACUUUGUGAUUCAUGACUGGGGUGAAGUCGUAACAAGGUAACCGUAGGGGAACCUGCGGUUGGAUCACCUCCUUACCUGAAAG
rnacentral:rRNA from 1 species